rnacentral:rRNA from 1 species
GAUGAACGCUAGCUACAGGCUUAACACAUGCAAGUCGAGGGACCGGCGCACGGGUGAGUAACGCGUAUCCAACCUGCCCAUAAGUAGGGUAUAACCCGCAGAAAUGCGGACUAAUCCCCUGUGCUUUUGGCUGGGGAUGCGUCCGAUUAGCUUGUUGGGGAGGUAACGGCUAACCAAGGCCUCGAUCGGUAGGGGUUCGGAGAGAAAGGCCCCACACAUAGGAACUGAGACACGGUCCUAACUCGGACGGCAGGAGGCGGGAAGGAAGAUGGGUGAACGGGCGAGAGCCUGAACCAGCCAAGUAGCGUGCAGGAGGACGGCCUAUGUGUUGUAAACUGCUUUUAUGCGGGGAUAGGUACCGCAUGAAUAAGGACCGGCUAAUUCCGUGCCAGCAGCCGCGGUAAUUC